GAAUAUCGGACAAUGGGCGCAAGCCUGAUCCAGCCAUGCCGCGUGUGUGAAGAAGGCUCUAGGGUUGUAAAGCACUUUAAGUUGUGAGGAAGUGGUUAUUGUGAAUAAUGAUGAUCAUUGACGUUAGCAACAGAAUAAGCACCGGCUAACUCCGUGCCAGCAGCCGCGGUAAUACGGGGGGUGCAAGCGUUAAUCGGAUUUACUGGGCGUAAAGAGCUCGUAGGCGGUUAAUCAAGUUGGAUGUGAAAGCCCAGGGCUUAACCUUGGAGCUGCAUUCAAAACUAAUUGACUUGAGUAAGGGAGAGGAGAGUGGAAUUUCCAGUGUAGCGGUGAAAUGCAUAGAUAUUGGAAGGAACACCAGUGGCGAAGGCGACUCUCUGGCCUAUUACUGACGCUGAGGAGCGAAAGCGUGGGGAGCAAACAGG
rnacentral:rRNA from 1 species